UGGCAGGUGACACUCACACAGAUUGUGGC
rnacentral:piRNA from 1 species